rnacentral:rRNA from 1 species
GAUGAACGCUAGCGGCAGGCCUAACACAUGCAAGUCGAGGGAUAAGCCUUCGGGCUAAGACCGGCGCACGGGUGCGUAACGCGUAUACAAUCUGCCUUUUAUCCGGGGGAUAGCCCGAAGAAAUUUGGAUUAAUACCCUAUGGUAUAAGAGCACGGCAUCGUGCACUUAUUAAAGUUACGGCGGUAAAAGAUGAGUAUGCGUUCUAUUAGCUAGUUGGAGAGGUAACGGCUCCCCAAGGCGACGAUAGAUAGGGGUUCUGAGAGGGAGGUACCCCACACUGGUACUGAGGUACAGACCAGACUCCUACGGGAGACAGCAGUGAGGAAUAUUGGACAAGGGUCGGAGGACUGAUCCAGCCAUGCCGCGUGCAGGAGGACGGCCUUAGGGGUGGUAAACUGCUUUUGUAAGGGAAGAAUAAGGAGUACGUGUACUUUGAUGACGGUACCUGACGAAUAAGCAUCGGCUAACUCCGUG